CUUAAAGUAUAAUAAAAAAAAAAAAAAGAAAAGAAAAACAUACCUAACAUCCCACAGACAGUUAAAAGAAUGGAUCAGUCAUUAGUGAGAAAACAUUUUGAAUUAGAAGAAAGCUCUGAGGAAAUAUGUCAGAAUUAAUAGAGAUUAAUAAGGAGAUGCAAUAUAUGAAGAAUUUAGAAACAUCAACAAUUAAUCAUAAAGUGCCAACCUACGUGGAAUAGCAAUGUGUGAAGGGAAAAAUGUUCCUGAGAAAAAAAUUGCAUUUAUUAUCCAAAACAGGAAAGAAAUGAGUCUAUAGAUUGAAAACGCCACUUAUGCAACACAUAGCAGGAGAAAAAAUAACACCUAAACAUAUAGCAUGACUGCAAAAUACCAUAGCUAAAGAAAAAUCUUCUAAAACUAACAGGGAACAGGCAAAUAACUUGUGAGGAGACAAUUAUAUCAACAACAUUGUCAAAAGAAGCAAAACACAACAGAAGAAAAUGGAAUAAAGCAGCUGAAAGAUUCAGAGAUUUGAUCUUAUGUAAUCUUCAGAGCUGGCUAAGCUUCCUGGUUAGGCCAUCUCUGCAACUCUCUUUGCCUCUGAUACUGGAGUUGAAGUCUACAGGAGAGGAGUCAGGAAGGAAAAUUGGAGGUCCCACAACAGGGCAAGAAUGACAGGAGGUGUGCACACAGAUACAUUUCAAGGCAGGCAUGGUGGUGUCUGCCUUUAGCUCUGCUCACAUCUCAUUGGUCCAAAUUCAACUAGAGUCCCCAAGUCGACAGCAAGGGAAGCUCGGCAACGUGGAGCAGCCCGUGAAUGGACUAUUUCCUGGAUUGUUGUGAACGUAUAUGGGAUGAGGAAUAUAAGUAGACUCUAUACUCACGAACAAAAGGAAAAAAUGGGUAGUGAUGAGUUCCAGCAGUUGUCACACCCCACAUUGUAGAGAAGAAUCAAGAAAGAGAGAGCUUAAAUAACAGCUUGCUUAAGUUCACACGGAAAAAUGACAGAAAAAGAACUUGAACCCAUGUAAAUUAGCUUCAUAUUCUUUGUUCUUACCCACUUUGCUAUACUCAAUGCAAAAUUUUCAAUACAUAUUAACUAGUUGAACGACUGUAGAAUAAAUAGGUAAUUUAUUCCAAAAUUUAGAACACAGAUUUUUUUUUCUCAAUAGACCAUUACUGGGUGGUUGAAUCUAGAGAAGAUAAUUUUACUCAGAUGUUUGACGUAAAGCACUGUUUUUGGCAGUCACUCAUUGGCAUCUUAAGAUCACUAGUAAAGUAUAAUCAAGGCACAUUGUAAUCUUUCAUUACUGGGAAAAUUUUUUGUAGAUAUUCAGUUUUAUAUCAAUAAAGUAUUUCCAUUCCAGAUUUGAUGAGUAGCUGUGCAGCCUUGCAUCUGUCCCUUCAGCUUCCUGAUCUUCAUCUUUAUCUGUUCUAGCACAUACCCUUCAGUAUACAAACAGGCAAACUUAGGGUUAGCUCUUAUUUUCUCUGAUCAAUUUUAAAAGUCCUUACAGAGCACAGAAACACACACAAAAAAAUUCUAAUUAUUAUUGAGAAAAAAUAACAGAUGGUGGAUUAUCAAACAUUUCUGUCUUAGCUUUAGAGAAAACUAUUGUAGGAAGGUAUUCUCCUGGAGGAAACCUGGAGAAAAUGUGGAUAACUUUCACAUGGGAUAGGAUAUAAUUUUUGAAACAGCUUUAUUCAUUUGCCUUAACUGGUAGUGAAAGUGCUAUACUGCUAAUGGUCGGUGAAUCUUUAAUUACAGAUAAAUGUUCAUGUUAGUAUCUGUCCUCAGGGCAAAAAUGCAAACACAUAUACACCACUAGAGAAGCAAAGAAAUGAAUUUAUGCUUUAAUGAGCUGUGGAGUCUUAUUAUUCGCUUAAUAUAAUAUGACACUUUGACUCUGUACUGGAAACGAACUGGGAAUAUGAGGUUCAAUUUGUACUCAGGGAAAUUGUUUACUCCGAAACAAUUUAGCCAAUGAUUAAUCGUUAUUUUC
rnacentral:lncRNA from 1 species